GAUUUCAAUUGAAAAGGUCGUCACAACAAAGUUGUAUAACUCAUCAAGAUCUAUAACUUUUAUUUUGGUCAUUUCUUCAUCCAACAAAGUGAUAGUAACAUUGUUAACAAAAUUCACAUAUCUCUCAUUUGGUUUUAUAAACUAUAACACAGAUAUGUCAAUUUUGUUAGCAAUGUUAGUAACACUUCAUCGGAUGAAGAAAUAACAAAAAUAAAAGUUAUAGAUCUUGAUGAGUUAUACAACUUUGUCGUUGAUGACUUUCUUAGUUGAAAAUC
rnacentral:pre_miRNA from 1 species